AGUCGAGAACCUAAGCGUUUCCAAGAACUGUGUUUAUGGCCUUUUGUUGACCAGGAACGGCCCCUUCAUAUCCUAUGUCGUCAAAUCCAAGAUGCUUUUCAAGGUCAACUCACUCAGUCACUCUUACUGGGUGAAGACUUGCAAAUCAAUCAGAGCAUUAAGUGGAUCUCCAGAAGUUUCACAGCAAUUUAGAAAUGAAACCAAGAUUUAAUACCAGCCUGCUUAAAAAGGUGCCAUGUCGAUGAUGCACGCCGUGCAACAGAUGGGAAAAGUCCUCAUGCAACUUAACAACAUGCUCACGUUUUCCUGUAGUUCUGCCGAAACACAACUUUGUGAGAGCUCCCUCCGUGAAAGCCAAGGCAGCCAGGUAAUGAAGGAGUCAGAAAGUGGACAGAAGCUGCCGGCAAGUUGUACCUGCCUGAGAAUGGAAUUGGCAACCAUGAAGCCUUUCAACAGAGGGUUUGGUUGUCCCAAGAAUGGUGGCGUUUGCAACCAUUUUGGAAUGGGUCGUGGCCUCGGGAAGGAGCUUAAAGAAAAUCAUUUUGCCCGAAUUCCACGUGAAAAUGGCAUGAUGGAUUGGAUUCCACAGGAAAAUGUGCUUGACGGUCAGAAGCCCUUGCUACUUUAUCCUAACUGUGGUGACGAUCUGGAAAGGAGUCUUGGUCACUGA
rnacentral:lncRNA from 1 species